AACCUUUUCAAUUCAAAGAAGAGGAAGUUCUCCUGCUUACCAAGUAGCUGCUGAUGUUUCAAGAAAAGCAUUACAGAACUGCUAACCCUAAGGCUGGAAUAAGCUCAGCUCUGCAGAUGCAUAAACAUCGUCUAGGGUUCUGAUUUCUUGCAGCAGUGUUCUUGGAUGGAUAUUCACAGAACAUGGCAACUGCUCAUGCUUUUGUUAGAAAGUUGCAUUUAUUCUCUGUCAGUGACUGCUCGGCUCCUAACAGUGCCUCUCAAAGGUAGAGCAGAGUUCUGUGGAUUGAGACUGAGGAUCUUCAGCCCAACCCAGCAGUGACCUCACCUUUCUGAGCUUCAGGUUUGUUACUGU